AACCUUUUUCAGGAAGAAUUGAUCAUGUGUUUUCUUUUUUUCUUUUAAUAUUUUUAAUUUUUGUGGGUACAUAGUAGAUGUAUAUAUUUAUGGGGUACAUGAAAUAUUUUGAUACAGUCAUGCAAUGUGAAAUAAGCACAUCAUGGAGAAUGGGGCAUCUAUCCCCUCAAGCAUUUAUCCUUUGUAUUACAAACAAUCCAAUUACACUCUUUUAGUUAUUAUUGACUAUAGUCACCCAGUGGAAUCAUCUGUCUUUUUACAGUACUUUGUCGAUAUUUAGUUGUAUAUAUGGUUUUCUUUUUAAAUUGUGCAUUCCUUAGAGGCAGUGAUGGUGCCAUCACAGUUGGGAAUAAAAACGUCAUACCCAAAGAAAUUAUUAUAUCAUGCAUAGAGUGUAUAUUAUAUAAAGUAUAAAGUAUAUCCACAAAAUCCCCUGGAAAUACAGGAGUACCUGAAACAAUUGCCAUAUGUCUAUUAUGUGCUAGUUUACCACACUAUAUUUAGUGCAUAGCAGGUGUGCAAUACCGAUUUGUUGAAACUGUUUUGAAGAAUUAAGUCCAAAAAUUGACUACAAAAAAUGCU
rnacentral:lncRNA from 1 species